rnacentral:tRNA from 1 species
GGGAGGUUAGCUCAGCUGGUUAGAGCACCUGGUUUACACCCAGGGGGUCGUGGGUUCGAGUCCCUCAUCUCCCACCA